AAAAAGAAAACCCUGGAGUUCCAUUCCCUCCCUAUAUAAACUCGUGCUUUACCACUCUUUCAUAUAUCACAUCUCAAGUUGUGGCCAUCACACUCAUGAAGAGCGCUCAGGACAAUAACAAUGAUGAAGAUGAUGGAAUCCAAUUCCAAUUCCAAUUCAUCGAAAUUGAAUCAAUGAGUCACCAUGUUAAAGUAUUGGAUUUAUCAUCUCUUCUUAAUUAGCCAUUGCUUAUUUGAUAACGUUCUCUCCUUUUGUUCUUUGAUUUCUAACCCUUGACCCCAUCGAUGUGCUUAUGUUGUGAUGCCUUGGGGCUUAAUUAACUCUUUCUUGCAAAUACUCCAUGCUUCCAAAUACUUUUUAAGGAUAAAAAGAAGAAUAACGCUUGAAAAUAAAAUUGAUACACACUCUCCAUCCCAUUUAAAAUAAUUUUUUGAUCUCAUUUGCGGAAUUAAUUCUUUUAAGCAUUCUUCGAUAUUGAUUGAUUAGUUAUUUUCAUAAACCAUAUCUUAUUUAAACAGUAGCAGAAAGAUUAUAUAUCAUACUAUGAAUAGAAAAUUUGGCUUAUCUAUCAUCACCGGUUUUAGGUGGAUUCUGUGUUUGAGUUGUUUUUUCUUUCAAUUUAGUGUUUGCAAGCAAUGACGACUAUUUCGUGCGAGCAACCAACUAUGUGUUUGCCAUCUGAUUUCCCUUGGCUUCAAUUCCUUUGAGCUUCCAGCAUCAGAUGCUGCAGAAGUAGCAGCAACAACAAUUGCAGCAACAACAACAGCAGCAACAAUAACAGCUGCAGCAACAACAACAGCAGCAACAAUAACAGCUGCAGCAACAACAACAGCAGCAGCAACAGCAAAAGAGGAAGUAGCAGUAGAGUAGCAUUAGCAGUAGUAGUAAUAGUACCAUUAGCAGUAGUAGUAUGACUUAUACGGAAUGUCACCAAAACCAAGCAAGAACUAUGUGUCUAAUAUCUAUAUGUUAUAUCUCUAGUUUCAAAGAACUCUAUAUAUAUUGUCUUAAAGGACCAAAAAAUACGUUUGUUUAGUGUUUCGAAUUGCAACAAUGAUCUUGUUCAAUAUACAUCUCUCUAUUUUGAUUUCCCAACAUGACGAGAAUAAAUAUAGAUCCAAAAAUGAU
rnacentral:lncRNA from 1 species